AUGUUAGCUUCAGCUCCACUGCUGCUGCUGGCUCUCGCCCCCUAUGUGUUCUGUGCUACUGAGCUCAUCCAGCCAGACUCACUGCUUAUAAAGCCAGGAGAGACUUUAACCAUCACCUGUAAAGUGUCUGGAGCUUCUAUCACUGAUAGCAGCAGCCACUAUGGAACAGCUUGGAUUCGACAACCUGCAGGAAAAGCUUUAGAAUGGAUCAAUUUAAUUUAUUAUAAUGGGGAUAUUUCUAAGAAAGAUUCACUUAAAGACAAGUUUGUCAUCUCUCGAGACACUUCCAGUAACACUGUGACCUUACGGGGACAGAACAUGCAGACUGAAGACACAGCUGUGUAUUACUGCGCU